rnacentral:rRNA from 1 species
ACUAACCUACCCUCGGGAGGGGGACAACCCCGGGAAACUGGGGCCAAUCCCCCAUAGGAGAAGGGUGCUGGAAAGCCCCUUCUCCGAAAGGGACUGCGGCCGAUCCGCCGCAGUCUGCCCGAGGAUGGGGGCACGGCCCAUCAUGGUAGUUGGCGGGGUAAUGGCCCGCCAAGCCGAAGACGGGUGGGGGCCGUGAGAGCGGGAGCCCCGAGAUGGGCACUGAGACAAGGGCCCAGGCCCUACGGGGUGCAGCAGGCGCGAAAACUCCGCAAUGCGGGAAACCGUGACGGGGCCACCCCGAGUGCCGCCCGAAGAGGGCGGCUUUUGCCCGGUGCAAAAAGCCGGGCGAAUAAGCGGGGGGCAAGUCUGGUGUCAGCCGCCGCGGUAAUACCAGCUCCGCGAGUGGUCGGGGUGCUUACUGGGCCUAAAGCGCCCGUAGCCGGCCCGGUAAGUCGUCCCUGAAAUCCACGGGCUCAACCCGUGGGCUGGGGACGAUACUGCCGGGCUUGGGGGCCGGGAGAGGCCGAGGGUACUCCCGGGGUAGGGGCGAAAUCCGAUAAUCCCGGGAGGACCACCAGUGGCGAACGCGCUCGGCUGGAACGCGCCCGACUGUUGAGGGGCGAAAAGCUUGGGGAACCAAAGGGGAUUAAAUACCCCUGUAGUCCAGCUGUAAACGAUGCGGGCUAGCCUGUUGGGCUUGCCU